rnacentral:lncRNA from 1 species
CCUGACACUGUCUAACAUUAUUGAGGUGAUGAUGACAAAGAAAACUGAGAUAGUAUGCAUACGCUAUGGAUGGAAAUAAAUGAGUUAUAUUCCUUCCCUCCAUUGAAAGUUCAUCUGGGGUUAAAGUUGAAUCUGCUGUUAAUCGUAUAGAAUCUACGAACAUAAUUUUCAGCAGAUAAGCAACACUUUUCUUGGGAAACGUUUGCAGUUUUAGUGAUUGGUAGUUGAUAUCUGAUAGACUCAUUCCAAAGAACAGUUUGUCGGGAGUACAUUUCGAUAUAGAAUACCUAAUGAUGUGUAAAGCUUUUCUGUAUUGCUUUGUUUUGUAAAACAAUGAAGCUACCAUAAGCCAUCCAGAAACAGCGUCA